UCGCCAUCACCACCCACGAAGCUGCGAGGAGCCGCUGUCGUGCUCAUGUCGCUGUGCGCCGUCGAGCUUCCCUCACCCUGAGCCGUCGAUCUGUCGCCACCGCUACAAGGGCUUGUCGCUGGAGCCACGACUGUCACUGAGCUUCCGUCGCCGCUGCCGUUCAAGCCGCUGCUGCCGUCGAUUUGGAGUUGCUGCGAUUGGAGCCACUAGCGGGGGUGAGUUGCUACUGCCCUGUUACCGUCCUAAUCAUAUUCAACGUCCACUGCCCUGAGC
rnacentral:lncRNA from 1 species